UCUGGCUCAGAACGAACGCUGGCAGCGUGGAUUAGGCAUGCAAGUCGAACGGGAUCCGGGGGAUAGCAAUAUUCCUGGUGAGAGUGGCGGAUUGGGGAGGAACACGUGAGCAACCUGCCCUGGAGAUGUGGAAAACCGUUGGAAACGACGGCUAAUACAGAAUGUGGCGUCCGAUGGCAUCAUCGGAACGCCGAAGGGGGCCGAAAGGCUCCCGCUCCGGGAUGGGCUCGCGCACCAUCAGCUUGUUGGCGGGGUAACGGCCCACCAAGGCUUACGGUUAGCUGGUCUGAGAGGAUGACCAGCCCCACUGGGACUGAGAUACUGCCCAGACUCCUACGGGAGGCUGCAGUCGAGGAUCAUUCGCAAUGGGCGAAAGCCUGACGAUGCGACGCUGCGUGGAGGAUGAAGGCCUUCGGGUUGUAAACUCCUGUCAGUGGGGGAAGAGGCGAGGGGACCCAACACGUCCCUUAGUUGACUGUACCCCAAGAGGAAUGGGCGACUAACUCUGUGCCAGCCGCGGC
rnacentral:rRNA from 1 species